AGUUUGAUCAUGGCUCAGAACGAACGCUGGCGGCGUGCUUAACACAUGCAAGUCGUACGAGAAACCGGAACCUCGGUUCUGGGAGUAAAGUGGCGCACGGGUGAGUAACGCGUAGGUAAUCUACCCUUGGGUUUGGAAUAACCCGCCGAAAGGCGGACUAAUACCGGAUAAAAUCUUUCAGAGGGAUCUGUAAGAUCAAAGGUGGCCUCUCCAUGGAUGCUACUGCCUGAGGAUGAGCCUGCGUCCCAUUAGCUUGUUGGUAGGGUAACGGCCUACCAAGGCUACGAUGGGUAGCUGGUCUGAGAGGAUGAUCAGCCACACUGGAACUGGAACACGGUCCAGACUCCUACGGGAGGCAGCAGUGAGGAAUAUUGCGCAAUGGGGGAAACCCUGACGCAGCGACGCCGCGUGGGCGAAGAAGGCCUUCGGGUCGUAAAGCCCUGUCUAGAGGGAAGAAAUUCUCAAUGGAACAAUACCCAUUGAGAUUGACGGUACCUCUGGAGGAAGCACCGGCUAACUCCGUGCCAGCAGCCGCGGUAAUACGGAGGGUGCGAGCGUUGUUCGGAAUUACUGGGCGUAAAGCGGGUGUAGGCGGUUUGCUAAGUCAGAUGUGAAAGCCCACGGCUCAACCGUGGAAGUGCAUCUGAAACUGGCUUACUUGAGUACCGGAGAGGGAAGUGGAAUUCCUGGUGUAGGGGUGAAAUCCGUAGAUAUCAGGAGGAACACCGGUGGCGAAGGCGACUUCCUGGACGGAUACUGACGCUGAGAUCCGAAAGCGUGGGGAGCAAACAGGAUUAGAUACCCUGGUAGUCCACGCCCUAAACGAUGGGCACCAGGUGCAGGGGGUGUUGACCCCUCCUGUGCCGCAGCUAACGCAUUAAGUGCCCCGCCUGUGAGUGAAACGC
rnacentral:rRNA from 1 species